rnacentral:rRNA from 1 species
UUUCCUUCCGUAGCACUUACUGAAGCUUUAGCAGCCUGAAAAGGCGAAUGCUAGCGACUAUAAAUAAAUAUGGCGUUCUUAAAUGCUAGUCUCUGUUAUCAGAGGCGACAUUGCCAAAUUGUCGGGGACACCCUAAAGAUCUUGAUACCAAGCUGGCAGUCGAAAGACGCCAGUGGCCGAGCUAACAGCCCUGGGUAUGGUAAUAAUUCAAGAUAUGCAACAAUGGGUAAUCCGCAGCCAAGUCCUAAACUACGCAAGUAGCAUGGAUGCAGUUCACAGGCCAAAUGGUGAUGGGUAGAUUGAUUAGAUCUGCUUAAGAUAUGGUCGGUCCCGCUGUGAGAGCAGAUGGGAAGCUACAAAGCGUACUCGUGAGUAUGCACAAACGUAACUACAAACGUUCCGUAGGUGAACCUGCGGAAGGAUCAUUA